rnacentral:rRNA from 1 species
AUUGAACGCUGGCGGCAGGCCUAACACAUGCAAGUCGAGCGGAUGAAGGGAGCUUGCUCCUGGAUUCAGCGGCGGACGGGUGAGUAAUGCCUAGGAAUCUGCCUGGUAGUGGGGGAUAACGUCCGGAAACGGGCGCUAAUACCGCAUACGUCCUGAGGGAGAAAGUGGGGGAUCUUCGGACCUCACGCUAUCAGAUGAGCCUAGGUCGGAUUAGCUAGUUGGUGGGGUAAAGGCCUACCAAGGCGACGAUCCGUAACUGGUCUGAGAGGAUGAUCAGUCACACUGGAACUUAGACACGGUCCAGACUCCUACGGGAGGCAGCAGUGGGGAAUAUGGGACAAUGGGCGAAAGCCUGAUCCAGCCAUGCCGCGUGUGUGAAGAAGGUCUUCGGAUUGUAAAGCACUUUAAGUUGGGAGGAAGGGCAGUAAGUUAAUACCUUGCUGUUUUGACGGUACCAACAGAAUAAGCACCGGCUAACUUCGUG